GAUGAACGCUGGCGGCGUGCCUAAUACAUGCAAGUCGAGCGAACAGACGAGGAGCUUGCUCCUCUGACGUUAGCGGCGGACGGGUGAGUAACACGUGGAUAACCUACCUAUAAGACUGGGAUAACUUCGGGAAACCGGAGCUAAUACCGGAUAAUAUAUUGAACCGCAUGGUUCAAUAGUGAAAGACGGUUUUGCUGUCACUUAUAGAUGGAUCCGCGCCGCAUUAGCUAGUUGGUAAGGUAACGGCUUACCAAGGCAACGAUGCGUAGCCGACCUGAGAGGCUGAUCGGCCACACUGGAACUGCGACACGGUCCAGACUCCUACGGGAGGCAGCAGUAGGGAAUCUUCCGCAAUGGGCGAAAGCCUGACGGAGCAACGCCGCGUGAGUGAUGAAGGUCUUCGGAUCGUAAAACUCUGUUAUUAGGGAAGAACAAAUGUGUAAGUAACUAUGCACGUCUUGACGGUACCUAAUCAGAAAGCCACGGCUAACUACGUG
rnacentral:rRNA from 1 species